CCAGUACCGUGAGGGAAAGGCGAAAAGAACCCCGGCGAGGGGAGUGAAAAAGAACCUGAAACCGUGUACGUACAAGCAGUGGGAGCCUCUUAAUGGGGUGACUGCGUACCUUUUGUAUAAUGGGUCAGCGACUUAUAUUCUGUAGCAAGGUUAACCGAAUAGGGGAGCCGAAGGGAAACCGAGUCUUAACUGGGCGUUAAGUUGCAGGGUAUAGACCCGAAACCCGGUGAUCUAGCCAUGGGCAGGUUGAAGGUUGGGUAACACUAACUGGAGGACCGAACCGACUAAUGUUGAAAAAUUAGCGGAUGACUUGUGGCUGGGGGUGAAAGGCCAAUCAAACCGGGAGAUAGCUGGUUCUCCCCGAAAGCUAUUUAGGUAGCGCCUCGUGAAUUCAUCUCCGGGGGUAGAGCACUGUUUCGGCAAGGGGGUCAUCCCGACUUACCAACCCGAUGCAAACUGCGAAUACCGGAGAAUGUUAUCACGGGAGACACACGGCGGGUGCUAACGUCCGUCGUGAAGAGGGAAACAACCCAGACCGCCAGCUAAGGUCCCAAAGUCAUGGUUAAGUGGGAAACGAUGUGGGAAGGCCCAGACAGCCAGGAUGUUGGCUUAGAAGCAGCCAUCAUUUAAAGAAAGCGUAAUAGCUCACUGGUCGAGUCGGCCUGCGCGGAAGAUGUAACGGGGCUAAACCAUGCACCGAAGCUGCGGCAGCGACACUAUGUGUUGUUGGGUAGGGGAGCGUUCUGUAAGCCUGUGAAGGUGGCCUGUGAGGG
rnacentral:rRNA from 1 species